GAUGAACGCUGGCGGCGUGCCUAAUACAUGCAAGUCGAGCGAACAGACGAGGAGCUUGCUCCUUUGACGUUAGCGGCGGACGGGUGAGUAACACGUGGGUAACCUACCUAUAAGACUGGGAUAACUUCGGGAAACCGGGGCUAAUACCGGAUAAUAUUUCGAACCGCAUGGUUCGAUAGUGAAAGAUGGCUCUGCUAUCACUUAUAGAUGGACCUGCGCCGUAUUAGCUAGUUGGUAAGGUAACGGCUUACCAAGGCAACGAUACGUAGCCGACCUGAGAGGGUGAUCGGCCACACUGGAACUGAGACACGGUCCAGACUCCUACGGGAGGCAGCAGUAGGGAAUCUUCCGCAAUGGGCGAAAGCCUGACGGAGCAACGCCGCGUGAGUGUUGAAGGUCUUCGGAUCGUAAAACUCUGUUAUUAGGGAAGAACAAACGUGUAAGUAACUGUGCACGUCUUGACGGUACCUAAUCAGAAAGCCACGGCUAACUACGUG
rnacentral:rRNA from 1 species